rnacentral:tRNA from 1 species
UCCCUGGUGGUCCAGUGGUUAAGAACUCUAAACUUCCAAUGCAGGGUCCCCAGGUUCAAUCCCUGGUUGGGGAU